GUCUACAGCCAUGCCACCCUGAACACUCCUGAUCCCAUCUGAUCUUGGAACUAAGCAGAGUUGGGCCUGGUUAGUACUUGGAUGAGAGACCACCUAGGAAGAUUGGGUGCUAUAGGCA
rnacentral:rRNA from 1 species